rnacentral:rRNA from 1 species
UACGGAGGGGGCUAGCGUUGUUCGGAAUUACUGGGCGUAAAGCGCGCGUAGGCGGCUUUGUAAGUUAGAGGUGAAAGCCCAGAGCUCAACUCUGGAACUGCCUUUAAGACUGCAUCGCUAGAAUCAUGGAGAGGUGAGUGGAAUUCCGAGUGUAGAGGUGAAAUUCGUAGAUAUUCGGAAGAACACCAGUGGCGAAGGCGGGUCUCUGGGCCGAUACUGACGCUGAGGAGCGAAAGCGUGGGGAGCGAACAGG